CACAUUCAUGUCAGGGAUGUGGGAAUCUUAGCUCUCGACCAGGAAUCGAACCCGCACCCCCUGCAUUGGAAGGCAAAGUCUCAACCACUGGACCACCAGGGAAGUCCCAGGGGCCUUGGUUUCUUAACUUUUUAGAAUGGAUUCUUGCAAAUGUGUGAUGGAGAU